rnacentral:rRNA from 1 species
AGAGUUUGAUCCUGGCUCAGGAUGAACGCUGGCGGCAUGCCUAAUACAUGCAAGUCGAACGAGAGACCUUCGGGUCUCUAGUGGCGAACGGGUGAGUAACACGUAGGGAACCUGCCCGCGCACCGGGAAUACGCUCUGGAAACGGAGAACAAAUCCCGAUGUACAGGAAGGAGGCAUCUUCUUUCUGUGAAACAUCCUUUCGGGGAUGGGGCGCGGAUGGACCUGCGGUGCAUUAGUUUGUUGGCGGGGUAAAGGCCCACCAAGACGAUGAUGCAUAGCCGGCCUGAGAGGGCGGACGGCCACAUUGGGACUGAGACACGGCCCAGACUCCUGCGGGAGGCAGCAGUAGGGAAUUUUCGUCAAUGGGCGCAAGCCUGAACGAGCGAUGCCGCGUGAGUGAAGAAGGCCUUCGGGUCGUAAAGCUCUGUUGCGGGGGAAAAAAGGCAGCAUCAGGAAAUGGGUGCUGACUGAUGGUGCCCCGCCAGAAAGUCACGGCUAACUACGUGCCAGCAGCCGCGGUAAUACGUAGGUGGCGAGCGUUAUCCGGAAUGAUUGGGCGUAAAGGGUGCGCAGGCGGUCCUGCAAGUCUGGAGUGAAACGCAUGAGCUCAACUCAUGCAUGGCUUUGGAAACUGGAGGACUGGAGAGCAGGAGAGGGCGGUGGAACUCCAUGUGUAGCGGUAAAAUGCGUAGAUAUAUGGAAGAACACCAGUGGCGAAGGCGGCCGCCUGGCCUGUUGCUGACGCUGAGGCACGAAAGCGUGGGGAGCAAAUAGGAUUAGAUACCCUAGUAGUCCACGCCGUAAACG